rnacentral:rRNA from 1 species
CCUCCGUGUGGCAGCAGUGAGGAAUCUUGGUCCAUGGGCGCGAGCCUGAACCAGCCAAGUCGCGUGAGGGAAGACGGCCCUACGUGUUGUCAACCUCUUUUGCCGGGGAGCAACGGGCGCCACGUGUGGCUCCACUGAGAGUACCCGGAGAACAAGCAUCGGCUAACUCCGUGCCAGCAGCCGCUGUAAUACGGAGGCUGCGAGAGUUAUUCGGCUUUCUUGGGUUUAAAGGGGGCGUAGGCGGAGCGUUAAGUCAGUGGUCAAAUUGAGGGUCUCAACCCCUUCCCGCCAUUGAAACUGGCGCUCUUGAGUGGAAGAGAAGUAUGCGGAAUGCGUGGUGUAGCGGUGAAAUGCAUAGAGAUCACGCAGAACCCCGAUUGCGAAGGCAGCAUGCCGGCUUCCUACUGACGCUGAAGCACGAAAGCGUGGGGAUCGAACAGGAUUAGAUACCCGAGUAGUC